AAAGUCGUAACAAGGUUUCCGUAGGUGAACCUGCGGUUGGAUCAUUAAUAUGAAAGAGUUUUAGAACUCGCACUGAUUCACUUUCGAGUGAAUUGGUAAACCCCUGUGCAUUGUUUGUUCUUAAAGGGGCUAACACUUUGUGUUGAAGCUUUGAGAAUCUCUACUUUAUAAUGACUGAAUCAAUAGAUUUUAAUUAAAAUACAACUUUUAACAACGGAUCUCUUGGCUCUC
rnacentral:misc_RNA from 1 species